UACGAAGGGGGCUAGCGUUGCUCGGAAUGACUGGGCGUAAAGGGCGCGUAGGCGGCUUGCAUAGUCAGAUGUGAAAUUCCUGGGCUUAACCUGGGGGCUGCAUUUGAUACGUGUGGGCUUGAGUGCGGAAGAGGGUCGUGGAAUUCCCAGUGUAGAGGUGAAAUUCGUAGAUAUUGGGAAGAACACCGGUGGCGAAGGCGGCGACCUGGUCCGCGACUGACGCUGAGGCGCGAAAGCGUGGGGAGCGAACAGG
rnacentral:rRNA from 1 species